UUAGCAGUAGCGUCUUGCAGUCUGCAA
rnacentral:piRNA from 1 species